rnacentral:lncRNA from 1 species
CCGGGGAAGUGAGAUGACGGUCGCGGGGGUGCCCAGGAGCCCUGAAAAACUUGUGCCCUGGACACGGCAAAAUCUGCAGGUUGCAGAAAGUCUCAACUGAUCCUGGCAUACCCCGAGGUGCCGACUUUUAGAGCUGAAGAUGCAAGAAAGAUCGGGAUCCUGCGAUGCACCGAACCUGUCUCUCGAAGUGUGUGCGCCCUGCUUCCUGUGUUAAACAAUUUGCUACAAGGUCACACAAUUUUAACUAGAAGACUGAGAUGUGAACCUGGGUGGUCUGAUGUGAACACCACUGUCUGGUAAUCCCAACGCUCUGCUGCUUUGCGACAGAGAAUGUUUUAGGGAACACACAGACUAUGUACUUAACCAAAUCUGGAAUUUGCCAUAAGAUAUUAAUCAGAGAAGUAAUGAUACUUGCAUUUUAAAAUGAAGGCUUUGGCAGUAGGAGAAGGGUGAAUAAGAGGCUUAAGAGCCU